rnacentral:rRNA from 1 species
GACGAACGCUGGCGGCGUGCCUAAUACAUGCAAGUCGAGCGCACCUUUCCUCCCCAUUGCUUGCACUCAAUUGGAAAGGGGGGUGGCGGACGGGGGAGUAACCCGUCCUUAACGUACCGAAUAGAGGGGGAUAACACGAGCAAACAGGUGCUAAUAUCUCGUAACAGUUUAUGCCGCAUGGCAUAACAGUUAAAGGCGCUUUCAGAUGUCGCUGCGGGCUGGAUCCGCGGGGCAUUAGCUAGUUGGUGAGGUAACGGCUUACCAAGGCCACGACGCAUAGCCGACCUGAGAGGGUGAUCGGCCACACUGGAACUGAGACACGGCCCAGACUCCUACGGGAGGCAGCAGUAGGGAAUCUUCCGCAAUGGACGAAAGUCUGACCGAGCAACGCCGCGUGAGUGAAGAAGGUUUUCGGAUCGUAAAACUCUGUUGUUAGGGAAGAACAAAGAUGUUAGUAACUGAGCAGCUCCUGACGGUACCUAAUCAGAAAGCCACGGCUAACUACGUG